rnacentral:rRNA from 1 species
CGCCUCUUGACAAACGAUAAGAGGUCCUGCCUGCCCAGUGAUAAAUUCAACGGCCGCGGUACCCUAACCGUGCAAAGGUAGCAUAAUCACUUGUCCUUUAAAUGGGGACUAGUAUCAACGGCACCACGAGGGUUACACUGUCUCCCCCCUCUAAUCAGUGAAACUGAUCUCCCCAUGAAAAAGCGGGGAUAAUACUAUAAGACGAGAAGACCCCACGGAGCUUUAAACCCAAUAGCAAUUAACAAAUCUACACUACAAAUUAUGCUAACGGCUUUAGGUUGGGGCGACCACGGAGUAAAAAUUAACCUCCAUAACGAAAAGAUUAAAUCUUUACCCAAGAGCCACCGCUCUAAGAAUUAGAAAACUAACGAACUAUGACCCGGUAUCGAUCAAUGAACCAAGUUACCCUGGGGAUAACAGCGCAAUCUACUUCAAGAGUCCAUAUCGACAAGUAGGCUUACGACCUCGAUGUUGGAUCAGGGUAUCCCAGUGGUGCAGCCGCUACUAAAGGUUCGUUUGUUCAACGAUUAAAACCCU